GCCGGGUGCGGUGGCGUGCGCCUCUAGUCCUAGCUACUCGGGAGGCUGAGGCAGGAGGAUCGCUUGAGCCCAGGAGUUCUGGGCUGGAGGGCGCUAUGCCGAUCGGGUGUCUGCACUAAGUUCGGCAUCAAUAUGGUGACCUCCCGGGAGCGGGGGACCACCAGGUUGCCUAAGGAGGGGUGAACUGGCCCAGGUUGGAAACGGAGCAGGUCAGAGUAAGUCCUCAGGGAGUUGGAGGAGACUUUUAGAGGUUAGGGGAGUCUGGUAGAGUUUGGGGACUAUUU
rnacentral:SRP_RNA from 1 species